AAGGGGUUCCGGUGCGGCUCCGGAAGUAGUCGUGCCCUUUGCUGGGGCAUUCAGAUUUUCCCAUAGCACACAGCCACCUGAUUUUUACCGUAUAUUAAUAUUUAGAAAACAAGUGAUACAAGUGUAAGGUGGGGAUUACAAUUUCAGGAAUAUCAGAGAAAGACUGUUGCUGAUUUCCUGGUAAGUAUACUAGGCUAAGUAUUAACCAGAUUUUCUUUAGCUGUUCUUUAUGUAGAAUCUACACAGGUGUGUCCAGUUGUUUCUG
rnacentral:lncRNA from 1 species